rnacentral:rRNA from 1 species
AUUGAACGCUGGCGGCAGGCCUAACACAUGCAAGUCGAGCGCGAGGCGGACGGGUGAGUAAAGUAUGGGGAAUGCCCGAUAGAGGGGGGUAAAUACUGGAAAAGGUAGCUAAUAACGCAUACGAUCGGAUAACCCAUAUGGGAUUAGCUAGUAGGUGUGGUAAUGGCUCACCUAGGCGACGAUCCCUCGCUGGUCUGAGAGGAUGAUCAGCCACACUGGGACUGAGACACGGCCCAGACUCCUACGGAGGCAGCAGUGGGGAAUAUUGCACAAUGGGCGCAAGCCUGAUGCAGCCAUGCCGCGUGUAUGAAGAAGGCCUUAGGGUUGUAAAGUACUUUCAGUCGGGAGGCGUUACCGACAGAAGAAGCACCGGCUAACUCCGUGCCAGCAGCCGCGGUAAUUC